GUCAUAUCAAAAUAAAUAGUGAAGAUGAUGAUGCACGUGACACCUGCGAUAAGAGUAGUGCUAAAGUGAACAAGAUUCAUGACAAUGAUGUCGAAAGUGAUUCCAAUGAAGAGAAAAUUGCGAACCUGAAGAACGGCAAGAAAAUAUCUGGUUGGAGUCAUAUGUUUUCCGAGUCAUCCGACUACAAAUGCACCCCUGUUGUUGGUACAAAGGA